UUGCACUGAUGACGUCUUAGGACACCUUUGGAUUACCCAUGAAAACAAACUGUUUUACUUCUGAGCAAC
rnacentral:snoRNA from 1 species